AAGAGAAAAUAAAGGACUGGAGGGCUAGAAAGGAUGGCGGAUCAUAUUUAUGGUUUAGUACAGAGUAAAAGGACCUUUCUGUGAGGACUUCAGCUCCUGCUUUUUGUAUUUGGAAGCCAGGUCUGAUGACUACACAAUGCAAGCAAAAAGUAUUUUCAGGCUUAUGUUGAGGAAACCAUCCUAAAAGGUGGCCUUGUUCAGCUGAAAGAUAUAUGAUUUUUUUGAUGAAUGGAAUUUACUGCACUGAUAGAAAACAGCAACUCAUCUCUAAUGUUUAUGGGAGUCCCAAAGGGUUUGGAAUUGAGAUUUCAUUAAUAUAAAGAACUUUGUGUUGAAGUUCCUUGAUGAAAUGAAGAUUAGUACUUUUCUAUUAUACACACACAUAGAUUUGGGUGAGGGGGGGUAGGGCACUGGGAAAUUGUUACUUGAACCCAUAUGGCCCGAUUGCAAAGAAAGUUAUUUUUACUCACUACACCAUGGUGCAUCUCCAAGUUUUAAAAAUUGCUUAGGAUACUGAGAAGUGAAAGCAAUUGCUAAAGAUCUGUGAUUGAUGUUAAUUUGUGAUAGAUGUUAGAUUCCUGACU